UACGGGGGGGGGCAAGCAUUGUUCGGAAUUACUGGGCGUAAAGGGCGCGUAGGCGGUUUGCUAAGUUGGAUGUGAAAACUCUGGGCUUAACCCAGAGCCUGCAUCCAAAACUGGCAAACUUGAGUACUGGAGAGGAAAGCGGAAUUCCUGGUGUAGCGGUGAAAUGCGUAGAUAUCAGGAGGAACACCGGUGGCGAAGGCAGCCCCCUGGGUCAAGAUUGACGCUCAUGCACGAAAGCGUGGGGAGCAAACAGG
rnacentral:rRNA from 1 species